GACGAACGCUGGCGGCGCGCUUAACACAUGCAAGUCGAGCGAGAACCAGGGCUUCGGCCCUGGGGACAGCGGCGAACGGGUGAGUAACACGUGGGUAAUCUGCCCUCGGCACCGGGAUAGCCCGGGGAAACCCGGAUUAAUACCGGAUGGCCCAUCCGCUCCUCGGAGCGGCUGGAAAAGGUAGCUUCGGCCUCCGGCCGAGGAGGAGCCCGCGGCGGAUUAGCUUGUUGGUGAGGUAACGGCUCACCAAGGCAACGAUCCGUAGCUGGUCUGAGGUGGCGAUCAGCGACGGUGGGACUGAGGCACGGCCCAGACUCCUACGGGGGGCAGCAGUGGGGAAUCUUGCGCAAUGGGCGAAAGCCUGACGCAGCGACGCGGCGUGCGGGAAGAAGGCCUUCGGGUUGUAAACCGCUUUCAGGAGGGACGAAGCCACUCGGGUUAAUAGCCCAGAGGGUGACGGUACCUCCAGAAGAAGCCCCGGCUAACUACGUGCCAGCCGCCGCCGUAAGAC
rnacentral:rRNA from 1 species